CACCCACGCAUAGCUUACAGCGCACUUUUAUGACUCAUGCGUUACGGAGGCCAGUGGAAAAGAAAAAGUCAUUACUCACUACUUGUCUCCUUGGUUCCAGUUUUCCAGUGUCGAAGAGGUUUUCCUUUGUCCUGAUGGAUUGAAUGUAUAUGCACAUAUGUACAUUUUACAUACAUAUAUAUAUACACAGCACAAGCUGCGAUGCCCUUGAGGGACCUGACGAUGCGGCAAUUGUAUUUGGAUGUAAAAAAGUUAAACAAAACUAUAGAGCACCAUGGAUCCCUAACUUUGAAAAACCCUGGG
ensembl:lncRNA